rnacentral:tRNA from 2 species
GCUGCUGUAGCUCAGUGGUAGAGCACUCCCUUGGUAAGGGAGAGGUCGAGAGUUCGAGUCUCUCCAGCAGCACCA